rnacentral:misc_RNA from 1 species
GGCAGUUUUAGAGAGCUAUAUGGAUCAAACCAUUGUUGAAUUGAAACCAUUAAAAACCGGAAUUGGAAUUGCCUUUGAGCUGGAUCAAAACUGGGUAGGAACUGGAACCACUGUCCGAUUGUGAUUCACUCCCUCCCCAGGAUUUGAAGUGCUGGUUUUAGCUUGGAAUCGGCUUGGACCAAACCGAUGGCCAGUCCUUCCAAGGUGCCUAGGAUACAUGUUCACUUCCAUCGCUAGAUGUGUUGGUUUCGGAUUAGAGCUGUUAGCUAAACUGACAUAAAUCAAGUAUUGGAAGCCAAAUUUGAAUCCUUGGAAUUAAGAUUUGGAUAUGUAAAGGACUAGAGGAAAAAAAAAAUGCUUUUGAAAUUUAGUGGGUGCAUUUGAAUGUUAUGAACCCUUUCUAGUGUAUAUUUUAAUUUCAUUAGGUGGUCUCUACAAAUAUAGUGCAAAAUGUAAUAUUUUUCAAGUCCAUUAGGAGUGUCAAGUUUAGAGUGAGAAAAAACCUCAGAAAUAUUUUUCAAGUCCAUUAGGACCGUCAAGUUGAGAGUGAGUUAAAAAACUGCUCAUCUAGGUUAGAUCUCUGCUCGUUUGGAGUUUAUUUCCUGGCCUUUUCGUGGCUCUUUCUUGCCCCUUUGGGCUGGAGGCUCCUCCGUUCGGUCGGCUGUGGGUUUUAUCCUCCCCACCGUCAGUUGUGAUGUACAUAAUCUCUUUUAUUAGAGUGGUGCAUGUUGUCUGAGUAAAUAGCAGAAUUUUUGUGCUAAAAUGGUGAGGAUUGAGGCUGCUUCCUAAUUUAAUCUUCUGUGGAUUGCUUCUUUGGGUUGUUUCUGUGUUUCACUGCUUCCAUUUGGCCAGAGGGUAAGGGUUGCUGUUUCUGUUUGACGGUGUUGGUGAGAAGGUUGGGUGCGAAUGUGAUGCCGAUGAUCAGUCAUUGUUGCCUUCCAUCCUCACCAGUGCUAUAGGCGACUUUUCUUCAAACCACCAUCCGGUCUUCUUAGUUCUAUGGCUUUUGUUCAUAUCUUGGUUUAGUCCCUUCUGUCUUGCAACUUUGUUAAGGUUGAAAUGGUGCUUUCUUGUCUUGCAUGCUGAUAGUUGUCUGGAAGCCCUGUGAUUUGGGUGGUUGAGCAGCGGCAAUGGUGUUUGCUGGUCGGAUCCUAUAUGGAUUGGAGAACCGGGCUCUCUGAGAGGCCUUGGCCCUUUGUUUCUUGGGCUUACUUACAGAUUAGAGUAGGUUUGCUUUUUUGGUUCAUGGACCUUGUAAAACAAGCUUCAAGCCUUGUAAAUGGGCUUUAGCCCCUUUUCUAAUUCAAUGCUAUAUUUUAUCUUUUGAUUAAAA